rnacentral:other from 1 species
AAUACCCUGCUGUGUACGUGAUGCUGCACGACCGGUUUUGAGCCAACACUCUUAAAAAGGGUCCCAUUAUCUGCAGCAGUGACGCGAUAGGCCUGAGCCAAGGCGGAUCUACUGGGGCGGGACCCAUCCUGCGCAAGCAGGUUCAAAACUACGCAGCACACGGCAUGGCGGGGGCUUU